rnacentral:misc_RNA from 1 species
UGGGGGGUUGUUUGCAGGCUUUCUGUGAAUGAAGGUCGGCUCCCCUGAAAUGUAUUAGUGGUAUCUGAGGCUACUACUAUAGGUGUGAUAAAUUAUCUAUGCCUUUGGUAUGCCACAUGAACAGAUUACACUGCUUCUAACAAAAAACGAAUGUUGAUAAAUUUGACCUCAAAUCAGGUAGGACUACCCGCUGAACUUAA